UAAAAGGGCUUACCAAGGCGAUGAUGCAUAGCCCGAGUUGAGAGACUGAUCGGCCACAUUGGGACUGAGACACGGCCCAAACUCCUACGGGAGGCAGCAGUAGGGAAUCUUCCACAAUGGACGCAAGUCUGAUGGAGCAACGCCGCGUGAGUGAAGAAGGUUUUCGGAUCGUAAAGCUCUGUUGUUGGUGAAGAAGGAUAGAGGUAGUAACUGGCCUUUAUUUGACGGUAAUCAACCAGAAAAGUCACGGCUAACUACGUGCCAGCAGCCGCGGUAAAUA
rnacentral:rRNA from 1 species